rnacentral:rRNA from 1 species
UACGAAGGGGGCGAGCGUUGUUCGGAUUUACUGGGCGUAAAGGGCGCGCAGGCGGCUCAUUUUGUCAGGUGUGAAAGCCCCGGGCUUAACCUGGGAACUGCGUUUGAUACGGAUGGGCUAGAGUUCGGGAGAGGAGAGUGGAAUUCCCAGUGUAGAGGUGAAAUUCGUAGAUAUUGGGAAGAACACCGGUGGCGAAGGCGGCUCUCUGGACCGAGACUGACGCUGAGGCGCGAAAGCGUGGGGAGCAAACAGG